rnacentral:lncRNA from 1 species
AAGACAUUGGUACACGCACAUUGUGGCUUCUUAAAACCGUUUUAUGCACAUAAUUCAUGCUCUUUAGUUACGAAAUUUAAAAUUGUUAUGCACAGGACUUUCAUCGGGUAAAGCUUGAACAAUUCACUAAUUCCUUGAUUCAGGUGGUCUCAAUGGAUAAAUCUAGCAGGAGGCCCUUAUGGUUCAAAAAGGGGCUGCUGGUUCACAAGUACCAUCCAGUACAACAGAGGAAAAAGUGCUUGAUUCUAAGUCUCAUGUCGAACCACAAAUGUUUAGAGGUCAUGUAAGACUUGAUACUGACUCAUAUACGUUGUCAACCAUGUGAGUACCCUUCUUAAAAUGAUUUCGGGUUAAGACGGCUCCGAGCAAAAUGAGUUCAGUUCAAUUAAAUUAUUAUUAGUUAAGUUCGGGUAAAUAUGGGUUUGGAGCAAAAUAAGUUCGGUGGUUUUGUUGAAAAAAAAACUUUAAAGUUUUGAAACUUUUUUUGAGCACCUAUGUUUAUGUAUUACAUAUGAUGAUUAUUUUGUCGAAUAAAUGGGUUCUGAGAAACAGCUUGAUUAACUUUUUAUCGAAGAAAUGGGUUUUGAUGAGGAGACUUUGGUCAAUUUCAACGUAUAAAGAAGUCUUUAAUGACUUGUGAUUUUUGCGUUACUUUUUUUUUUUGAAUUAAUUGUAGUUUACUAAUUUCAUUAGUACUUGAACGUUUAUUUCUUUCUAAGGAUUAUUUCAACAAUUUUAAGUGAUAUCUAUUUUCUUUCCUUGAAUUUAACUGUUUUCAAGGAUAUCAUCCCUUGGUAUAUUAAUAUGAAUUUAAAUAAGAAUUUAGAUAUUGAAGUUUAUAUAAAUUUGAUGUCAAUCAAAAUAUGAAAACCAUGACCUUUUGUUACUCUAUUAAAGGUUCGCUGGUAUGUAACAGGUUUUUGGAUAGGGAAGUGAUCACUCUGUUUGGUUUUGGGUUUGUACCAGUUAGGGUCGUGUAUUGUUUGUUUGGGACAUGUUUCAACCCUUAGACGUGAAGCCUAAGUUUGGAAAGGCCUAGAACAAAAAUGAUGAUCUACAUGGGCUUCAAUGCCAGUAGAUAUUAUAUGUUUGUGUUAAGCCACCCGCGAAGCUCGCGGGAUCUUAGGCUAGUAUAUAUAUAUAUAUAUAUAUAUAUAAACACCAAAAAUCCGAAAUAAAAACAAACGAAAGAAGUAGAAUGAAAGAGAUAAACACUGUGUUCUCGAGUUUCAUUAAAUGAGAGAAAAGAAAAGAUUUGGAAGGAAAUAAUUUUUAGUUGUGUUCCACAGUUUCGUUAAAGGAGAGAAGAGAAGAGAAAAUAAGAGGUUUUUUGCCUAAAUUUAAUCUUUCCAAUUUGGAAAGAAACGAAGAGAAGAGAAAAGAAAAUGAGAUAAUCAUUUCUUUUCUCCCCUUAGCUUAACUCGGGAACACAGCGAAAGUGACGCCAAAUUAAGGCUUUGGAGGACAAGUUUGGCCCGUUGAAAUCUGAAAAAGUCAAAGGAUUUGAAUUAUGGGGUGUCGAUUAAGUAGAUUUGAAUUAUUCAAUUUCAAAGGCUUUGGUAACACAAGCCUGACCUUUGGGAACGCACUAAAAAAAUGCUACCAUGAGAGAUCAUGUGUUUACAAUCAUUAUCCUCAAAGACUGGAUAUAACCAUUUAGGAGACUAAUCAACUCAUUCUAGUGGAUACCAUUUUUAACUCGUGCGUUAGAUCAAAUGCUUUUCUACGUACCAUUUGCAUGAAACAAUAUUAAAUUAAAUGUGAUAAUUUUGACUAUUUUAUCUAUAAAUAAGUUGAUUAAAGUUUGAUAAUUUUGACUAAACAAAAAUGUAUCUAUGUAUGAGUUGAUUUAUUUUAAUAAAGAGUGUAUAAAAAGAAAAAUAAACUUUUGCUUAAUUGUUAACCCAACCCUUUCCUUCCUUCCUUCAAAUAACAACAUUUCAACUCAAACCUGCUUUAACCUUUUACAUAAGUUUUAAAGGUUGACUUGUUGCUCUGUUUUUGAAUGAAAUUAAGGCAAUCUAUAUUUGUUUUGACCCGACUACUUAGAGUUAGUUUAUAUGAAUAGAAUACAAUAACUAUGGCCCUAAACAAUUCCGUUCCUGGUCUAAUAGAAAGAAAUUCAGGAUAUGUAUUUGAUCCGACCAGUCCCGUUUAUAUUAUUGUAGCUAUUUAUUUGAACAAUUAGUCAACCCACUACCCACCCAUGUUAACCCCGCGCUUUGAAUAUGUCUACUUUGUCAC